rnacentral:pre_miRNA from 1 species
AAUUUCAGCUGAAAAAGUCAUGAACAUAAAAGUUGUAGAACUCAUCAAGACAUACAACUUUUAUUUUGGUUAUUUCUUCACCCGACAAAGUGAUAGUAACAUUUUUCACAAAAUUUACAUAUCUCUCUUAUAGUUUAUAAAACCAAAUGAGAGAUGUAAAUUUUGUGAACAAGGUUACUAUCACUUUGUCAGAUGAAGGAAUGACCAAAAUAAAAGUUAUAGAUCUUGAUGAUUUAUACAACUUUGUUGUUGAUGACUUUUUUAGUUGAAAUC